rnacentral:rRNA from 1 species
AGAGUUGAUCAUGGCUCAGGACGAACGCUGGCGGCGUGCUUAACACAUGCAAGUCGAGCGAUGAAGCUCCUUCGGGAGUGGAUUAGCGGCGGACGGGUGAGUAACGCGUGGGCAACCUGCCUUGUAGAGAGGAAUAGCCAUUCGAAAGGAUGAUUAAUACCUCAUAAUAUUGUAGCUUCGCAUGAAGCAACAACCAAAGGAGCAAUCCACUACAAGAUGGGCCCGCGGCGCAUUAGCUAGUUGGUGGGGUAACGGCUCACCAAGGCGACGAUGCGUAGCCGACCUGAGAGGGUGAUCGGCCACAUUGGGACUGAGACACGGCCCAGACUCCUACGGGAGGCAGCAGUGGGGAAUAUUGCACAAUGGGGGAAACCCUGAUGCAGCCAACGCCGCGUGAGUGAUGACGGUCUUCGGAUUGUAAAGCUCUGUCUUCAGGGACGAUAAUGACGGUACCUGAGGAGGAAGCCACGGCUAACUACGUGCCAGCCGCCGC